UAGCUUCCAUAAUAUUUCAUUUAAUCCCCAUUUGCUGCAUAAUCAAAAAUUUUUCAUGUGCUGCUGCUAAGGGUCCCCAAUACUACUGGACUGGCAUACUAAAGUAGGUUUAUUAGAUUCUGAAUGAUUGGUACAUGGGGGGCUGAGGCUGACCUUAUGCAUACUCAGAGAACAUUUAAUCUUUGAGGAAUGACAAGGCUAGCUGUACUAAGUAGUUGGCUUGAAGAAGCUAACCAAGAAAUAAAUUUAUAAACGAUAAAGCUCUUGCCACUUCACCGUUUGAAUGGUGGCCGGUAGUGGUAGGCCAAUCACUUGAAAAGGUGCCAACCAA
rnacentral:misc_RNA from 1 species